rnacentral:rRNA from 1 species
AGAGUUUGAUCCUGGCUCAGAAUAAACGCUGGCGGCGUGCUUAACACAUGCAAGUCGAACGAGAAAGGUCUUCGGACUGAGUAAAGUGGCGAACGGGUGAGUAACGCGUGAGAAUCUACCCCUUAGUGAAGAAUACCUUCGAGAAAUCGAAGUUAAUGCUGCAUAAGCUCCUUAAUUGGAGGAAAGAUGGCCUCUUUGCUGUCGCUGAGGGAUGAGCUUGCGUACUAUUAGCUAGUUGGUGGGGUAAAGGCCUACCAAGGCGAGGAUGGUUAGCCGGCCUGAGAGGGUGUACGGCCACAUUGGAACUUAGACACGGUCCAGACUCCUACGGGAGGCAGCAGUGAGGAAUAUUGCGCAAUGGGCGAAAGUCUGACGGAGCAACGCCGCGUGUAUGAAGAAGGCCUUCGGGUUGUAAAAUACUGUUGUUAGGGAAGAACGGCUUAAGUGUAAAUAAUGCUUAAGAUUGACGGUACCUAACGAGGAAGCCCCGGCUAACUACGUGCCAGCAGCCGCGGUAAUACGUAGGGGGCAAGCGUUGUCCGGAAUCAUUGGGCGUAAAGGGCGCGUAGGCGGCUAUAUAAGUCUGAUGUGAAAGUGCGGAGCUUAACUCCGUAAAGCAUUGGAAACUGUAUGGCUUGAGGACAGAAAAGGAAAAGUGGAAUUCCACGUGUAGCCGGUGAAAUGCGUAAAGAUGUGAAGGAACACCAGUGGCGAAGGCGACUUUCUGGACUGUAACUGACGCUGAGGCGCGAAAGCGUGGGGAGCGAACAGGAUUAGAUACCCUGGUAGUCCACCCCGUAAACGAUGAAUGCUAGGUGUAAAGGGUAUCGACCCCUUCUGUGCCGCAGUUAACACAAUAAGCAUUCCGCCUGGGGAGUACGGCCGCAAGGUUGAAACUCAAAGGAAUUGACGGGGGCCCGCACAACCGGUGGAGCAUGUGGUUUAAUUCGACGCAACCCAAAGAACCUUACCAAGGCUUGACAUCCAACUAAUCCCGUAGAGAUAUGGGAGUGCCCUUCGGGGAAAGUUGAGACAGGUGGUGCAUGGUUGUCGUCAGCUCGUGUCGUGAGAUGUUGGGUUAAGUCCCGCAACGAGCGCAACCCCUAUAUUUAGUUGCUAACAGGUAAAGCUGAGAACUCUAGAUAGACUGCCGGUGACAAACCGGAGGAAGGUGGGGAUGACGUCAAAUCAUCAUGCCCCUUAUGUCUUGGGCUACACACGUGCUACAAUGGACGGUACAGACGGAAGCGAAGCCGCGAGGUGAAGCAAAUCCGAGAAAGCCGUUCUCAGUUCGGAUUGCAGGCUGCAACUCGCCUGCAUGAAGUCGGAAUCGCUAGUAAUCGCAGGUCAGCACACUGCGGUGAAUACGUUCCCGGGCCUUGUACACACCGCCCGUCACACCACGAAAGUUUGCAACACCCGAAGCCGGUGGGGUAACCGUAAGGAGCCAGCCGUCGAAGGUGGGGUAGAUGAUUGGGGUGAAGUCGUAACAAGGUAACC